rnacentral:rRNA from 1 species
GAUGAACGCUGGCGGCGUGCCUAAUACAUGCAAGUCGUGCGGAAAGGCCACUUCGGUGGUACUCGAGCGGCGGACGGCAGAGUAACGCGUAGGAACAUACCCCAAACUGAGGCAUAACUGCUCGAAAGAGCAGCUAAUACCGCAUGUGAUCUUCGGAUUAAAGCUUCGGCGGUUUGGGAAUGGCCUGCGUCCGAUUAGCUAGUUGGUGAGGUAAAUGCUCACCAAGGCUUCGAUCGGUAGCUGGUCUGAGAGGAUGAUCAGCCUGACUGGAACUGAGAACGGUCCAGACUCCUACGGGAGGCAGCAGUAGGGAAUUUUCCACAAUGGGCGAAAGCCUGAUGGAGCAACGCCGCGUGCAGGAUGAAUGCCUUCGGUUGUAAACUAGCUUUUAUUAGUUGUAAGAAUAUAGACGGUAACGUAAUUAGAAU